UGCUCUUCUCAGGACUGUUCACCCAAACAAGAGAAGACGACUUUCCUUCAGUUUGAAAGAAGAAAGUAUCCUUGGUUCCCGAGGUGGAGUGAGGAUAGGUGCUUCAGAGCUCCAAGACGCCGUUCUGGAUUUCUUCGUAGCAGCUGACAAAACAUGCGAUAUUUUAGUGUGAAAAUUCAUGGGUAAUGCUACUGUGUAAGAGUCGAUACCAAGACUGGACGGACAGUGACGUUCAUACUGCCUGACCUAUGAAAAACUCUUGGUCCUCAAAAGAAAGAGAUGGCUUCUGUGGACAGAAAGCGUGGAUAUCGUACUUCAUCAUUUACAAUACUGUCAAACACCUCUUCUUCAUCAUCUCCAGGGAAAGGAGACUAUAACCUACAGAUUAGAAUCAUUAAGGUUGGAGAAGACCUCCAAGAUCAUCUGGUUCAACUGUCCCCCUACCACUAAUACUACCCACUACAUUAGCUUUAUAGAUGGUCAGGAUUUUAAAGUCAAAUAUCAAAAGCGUUUAAACUUGCAGCUUUCA